AUGUCAUCAAUAAAAAGGUCACACUCAUCAUCAACGCAUCGAUUUCUCUACACAAAUCAACAACAUUGCACGAAUCAGCACAACUCAGGAACGAAAAAGGAAACAAAAAAAAGUUCGAAUCAGAGAGGGUUGAAUCAUAUUGUUAUUACUAUCGUCACCGUUGAAGAUGCUUCAGGCGAAUUCCAACCAGAGAUUGAUGGAAUUGAGAACGAAACAGAGGUGAUUAAUAAGCAGACGGCGGUGAGAGGCGGCGAUAAUGUUGUUCAUGGCGGGGGAAGGCGUUUGAGAAGUAGAGAGAUGAAGUAG